UAAGACAGAGGUUGCAAACGUUGUUCGGAAUCACUGGGCAUAAAGCGCACGUAGGCGGCUGACUAAGUCCAAUGUGAAAUCCCCCGGCUCAACCGGGGAACUGCGUCGGAUACUGGUCGGCUUGAGAACGAUAGGGGUGAGCGGAACUCCAGGUGGAGCGGUGAAAUGCGUAGAUAUCUGGAGGAACACCGGUGGCGAAAGCGGCUCACUGGAUCGUCACUGACGCUGAGGUGCGAAAGCUAGGGUAGCAAACGGGAUUAGAUACCCCGGUAGUCCUAGCCGUAAACGAUGGGCACUUGGUAAGGGGGAUUCCUAUGGUCCUCUUUGCCGGAGCAAAUGUGUUAAGUGCCCCGCCUGGGGAGUACGCUCGCAAGGGUAAAACUCAAAGGAAUUGACGG
rnacentral:rRNA from 1 species